UACGGAGGGUGCAAGCGUUAUCCGGAUUCACUGGGUUUAAAGGGUGCGUAGGCGGGUUGGUAAGUCAGUGGUGAAAUCUCCGAGCUUAACUUGGAAACUGCCAUUGAUACUAUCAGUCUUGAAUAUUGUGGAGGUUAGCGGAAUAUGUCAUGUAGCGGUGAAAUGCUUAGAUAUGACAUAGAACACCAAUUGCGAAGGCGGCAUCCUGGACCAACACUGACGCUGAGUGAGCGAAAGCCAGGGGAGCAAACGGG
rnacentral:rRNA from 1 species